UGUUCUAACGCACCUAGCGGUACGCGGGAACACUUUCACGCAGAGCCGUCUAGAGAUAUCGGUUGCGCACUACGCUGCGCACUAAAAGCUGCGCCGCUCUCUGGAGAGUGUUUUAGAUGUAAUCUAGGGGGCUAAGCAAGCCUGUACCCAGGCAUGAGGGAGUUGCCUCCUCUGACAAAGACACGUCAUGACGAGUUUACAGUAAGCAGCUAGAUAUCUACUGCAAGAAUUUCUGAACGAACACAAGUUUAGCUAAGUUUUAGAUGUGAGUGUGUACCAUGCACUUACUGUAGGUAUGUAUGUAAAGUAGCGCAAAUUUCUAGUUGUAGGACAUAACUUGUGAUUGCAGCAAUUUAAUGCACGUUAAUUGUUCACUUGGCUUCUUUACAAAGUGCGGGACAUGAUGGACUUGGUCCUGGCCUUGGCGUGCGGGGAACUGAAUAAUUUAUGAAUCUGGGUAUGGCGAGUUAUACAGGCACUAUAGUUUUUGAACUUCUUCAUGUAAUGUUAAAUGAUGCAUGCCCUUGUCCGGCCCUCUUCAACUAUGGAUAUUUUCCAAUGUCUUGAAGUUCAGAACUAGACCUAGAUUAGAAUGUAGCAUGCUUGGUAGAUCUAACUGUGAAAUCCACUUGAACAGUGAAGGACUGCAUGACCCAUACAAGGAUAGGGCUAGGUAUACUCGCCUGACAGCACGAACUCAGUCGUUUCUUUAGCGCCAUCACUUGUUGAAGAGCCUGUGGAUACAGUGGUUGGUUAUAAUGGUGUGACUGGAUUGAUUCUACCUGCCACUCUUCACUGUCAGGGCAACUCCAACGAGUCAGAGAUCUAUUGGUACAAAGAUGAUCAGCCAAUAAAUACAGCAAUUCCAUAUUUCAAUGUCAGUGAUGGAUGGCUUACAGUUGCAACUCGAAACAAGAGGGAUGAUGUAGCCGCUUUGGAAGGAUUCUAUUAUUGCACUGUGGGGAACAGUCUGGGGACUGUGAGAAGCAAGAAAGCUCUCGUUAAAGGAGAGAAGGUGAUGCAGUUUACUGAUAUUGAAAAAUACAAUCGGAAGCAAUAUGCAGUAUUUCUACAAAAUCGUAUCUUGAAACUGCCAGUUCCUAAUUCAUUGCACUUAUGGACUAUAACUUGUAACGUAAAAACUGUGAAUUGCACGAGUAUGAAUUGUCCAUUCUGGCAACACUCUUCUACAUCUGGUCGUCUCCUGGUCUCUUCAGUUUUGCGUUUGAGUUACAAUGAAAUGGGGAAAAGGUAUAAAGACUGUAAACAUACAGAACAUACAAAAUCAAAAUAUUUGAUAACUUUAUCGGAAUCAGAAUCAGAAUCAGUGCAGCUCAAAUUUCGUUUUGUUGUCAAAGAGUUUGCACCUGCAGCACAAAUCAAGAACCAGACUGUCUCUGUUGCAGCUGGAAAUAAUGCUACACUCUACUGUCUAUCUGGGGAUUUCCAUAGCACAUACACAUGAACUCAUAACGGUGCUGAUAUAAAUAUCAGCAGUGACAGCAGGUACUCGCUUAUUGAAGAUGGUGUACUGAAAAUAGUGGGAGUUGUUGAUAAAGACAGCGGACAAUAUGAAUGUCGUUACAAUUUUCCAACAAUUGAUAAAUAUGCUAAAGAGACUGGAAUGAUAUCUUCUGAUCUAAAAAUUUAUCGUACGCUUGCCCACAGUUAAGUUGACUGUUGAAGAAAGUAACACGAUAGAUGGGAGUGGUAGCAGUUGCAGUAGUGAAAUCAGUUCUACUACGGAUUGCCCUUUGAUGUAUUCCAACUCAUCAGCAAUCAUAACCUGUGCUGCACAAGGAUCUACUCCUCUUGAACUUCAACUCAUCAACAACAUGCAUGUGCUGCAGCAUGCAAGCAACACGAAUUAUUUGCAGCACAUGAUUGACAAGCCAUCAGCAGCAAUUUACCAAUGCAUGGCAAGCAAUGAUUAUGGCAGUCGACAGACACCAUAUAUAUUUCUCUGCCAGAUGUAGCUGAUCAGUCUACUAUAUCAUCUUUUUCUUUAUCUUCUUCAAGCAACACUGCGUACAUGUAUAGUGACAGUACAAGCCAUGAUACCUCACGAAAAACCAAUUGUGAGCCAUUGACUACAUGGAAAAUAGCAGGUGCAGUAGGUUGGGCAUUUUCUGCAAUACUGAUAAUUGUUUGCAUUGCUCUCGCGUGGUUUCAUUGUACAAAUAAACGUAAGAUUACAAUCUCACAGUCAAAUCAUGGAGAGAGUGCUAAGGGUAUGGAAAGCAAUGAAGCCUACAGUGUACAAUCGCAACAAGUCAGAUCAGUGGAAACAACUGGACAUUAUGAAGAGGUGAAGUUGCAUGUAAUGUAGUUUAGUUGGAUGAAGUGGCACAAACUAGGUAAGAGCAAGCAUGUUGUGCAUUACUCAAUGGUAGAGUUAUAGAUAGAAUACAGACAUGGGACAGGUGUCUGCAGCGUUUUUGUGUUAGUAAGUGUCUACUGGCUUAGCUAUAGCAUGUACUAGAAUUAAGUUCUUCACUAAAUACUGCAUUCAUUAAAUUUACAGUUUGCUUGUGUUUUCGCAGAUAAGUUGACAGGAAAAUUAUUGUUUUGCAUAGCUAGUUUUACCCCUCUUUGUCAGCUUUCAACCAAGAUAAUGUGCAUGUAUAC